ACAUGCAUAUAUUUUCUGCACAAGGAAUUGUUAUUUUAGUUAAAGACAGAAGUGAAAAAUUUCACCAACGCUCUAGUUUUAACAUGCUUUUUUUCUUAGACAGUUGUGUAAGCAGUUCUCAAGAGCUCCUACCUUUUUCUUCAUCACCAUGAGCAGCAGCUUCUUGAUGGGAAGGAAAAAGAUUCUUCACAAGCCCUUAGCUCAUGCAGUUACUCAGCUCAAUGCAAAGUAAAGACCAGAGGACCUCCUCUACUUUUCCUCUGCCAGUGUUUUUACCAAGAUGACAUCUUCCUAUGUAGUUUCUGACUACUGCAUACACCAGAUCUCUGCCCUGGUCUCUGGAUUUCUGCUGCUGCGCCAACAAGUAUUUCUAUCUUCUUCAGUCCCUAGAAGUGCUCUCUCCAAAGUGUUACACAGUAUUGCAUACAUCCAAUCCAAAGAGCAGAACCCAUGGAAAGGAAAGGUUAAGACUGAAGACUGUUUAAAAUGCUUGCUGUCAGAGGUUACAAACUUUCCUGAACUUCAGAAACCUGAUUGGGAGAGAAGAAAAAGAAUUCAACUCUUAAACUUGACCUCUUCAAAGCUUCUCAAAGCUGUUCCACUACAUCAAGUGACAGAAACUGGAAAGGGAGGGAAAUGGAGGACAAAGAACUAUUGAAGAUGCAAAGAGUAAUUCAAAAUGUACUGAGAGGUUUGGACAUCUUUUAUUCUUGAAAAAAAAGUUAAACAAAACCACCAGUCUGACACAAAAUUAAAAUCCAUCCUGUAAUCUCUUGCCAGAGAAAGAUCUUAAACAUUAAAAACAAAAAACAACAACAAACAACAAAUGAUUGGAAGAUACUGGGAUUUGCAUUCUGCUUUGCUGCUCACUUCCAGAAUAGAAAUCCCAUUAAAAGUAUUAAACGGGCCAAGUAUACCAGCAACUUCACAUACCAACAUAUAUGACAAACAAAAUGUUUCCUUCUGUUUCUCCACAGUCUUUCUGUGUUACUUGAUGCAAGGGAGCAGAACUCCUGCUGCAAAGGCACAGUGACAUGAGGGGCAUUUGCUGUCAUUACUGGAGCCCUGACCAAAGCCACGCAGUUGUGCAGGCUGCCUGUUGGUCAUGUGGGAUCGCCGCUGAGCAUUUAGGGGCUGGCUUAGGUACUUUGUGCACAUUUUCUCUUCUAGCAUUUCCUCAUCAAGCCACAGUGAGACUUCAUGUAAUACUGUUCACAAAUCUAAAGCCUGCUCUGUACUUCUGGAAGCGAGGAGCAGCAAGGUCCAACUGCUAUAGCUGAAUGACAGAUGCUGCUUUCAGACCUUUUCCUGCAGCACAGUUACCUGCACAGCCACCAGCAAGGGCAGUCCAGGCAGUCCAGGUGGCCCUGAGCCACGAUAUGCAGGGAGAAGCAAAGGGUGGCAUGGGGCUGUGGCUGCACCACGAGCUGUGCACCCCUCCACUCAUUGCCUCCUGCGGGAUGCAGGACAUGGUGUAACAAAAUGGGCUCUUUCUGCUUGUUGGAAGCUCGCACAAUUGUUCUUCCGCUGAUGACAUCACAGGUCCCCCUUCAAAGAGUGAAUAUUGCAAAGUAAGUGAUUUCUCACUGGUUAUGUGUAUGUCAAUUUUCACAUUGUUUUACUUCUCCUGAAAGCCAACAACCAUUAGAAGCAGCUUG
ensembl:lncRNA